GGCGCGUUAGUGAAGCAGCCGACCUGGCAUUUGGCUGAUGCGGAUUACUGCUGUCCCAGCCUGGAAUCACUGAAAAGACAAACAUCUUACCAGUAAGGCCACUCCAAUACCUGUACCGUGCAGAUGAACCAGACUGCGCAUCAAGCUGCAUCAUUUAACAGAAUAUGAAUCACUUCAGAAAAGCACUCUGGAUAGAAAGCUAAAUAUUUGAGGAAAAUGGAAAAUAUCAAUACAUAUAUGCAUCAUUUGUUUGUAUGGCAACAAAGAUCUGAUCAAAACGCCUGAAUUUGUUUACACCACUGCAGCGGUAGUACUGCUAUCACAGACACCAUGUAUUUAAACUGAGUAGAUAGUACAUCAGGCUAUUUUAGGAUGAUGACCAGUCUACUUGGUCUUCUACAAUUGUUUUUGGUGAGUCUUUGAUAUUUCUUCUGAUUUGGCCGAAAUUCAAAUAGGAAAUUUCAUAAUUUUUACGAGGUCCAUCAUGUAGUCACUUGUAAAUGAACUUUGACCCAGCAGAGAUGGAAGGGUCAUCUGUAUCAAACAAGUCACAAAAUAAUCAAGAAAACCGUAUGAUUAUUCUGCCCAAGCAGUUGGAGGAUAUACCAAUUGCAUCAGAAUUUCCAUCAGUGAGGCAUCGGUGGAACACCAAUGAGGAAAUUGCUUCCAUUUUGAUUGCUUUUGAUAAACACAAAGAAUGGCAACUAAGAGAGCUACGAGUCAGGUAAGCAACAGUUAUUAUUAUUAUUAUUCAUCAUACAUGCACACACACGUAUGCAUAAUA